UCGAUAUCUUGACAAGUCACA
ensembl:piRNA 21ur-1341 ncRNA